rnacentral:rRNA from 1 species
AACGAACGCUGGCGGCAUGCCUAACACAUGCAAGUCGAACGAGACCUUCGGGUCUAGUGGCGCACGGGUGCGUAACGCGUGGGAACCUGCCCUUAGGUUCGGAAUAACUCCCCGAAAGGGGUGCUAAUACCGGAUAAUGUCUUCGGACCAAAGAUUUAUCGCCUUUGGAUGGGCCCGCGUUGGAUUAGCUAGUUGUUAGGGUAAAAGCCUACCAAGGCGACGAUCCAUAGCUGGUCUGAGAGGAUGAUCAGCCACACUGGGACUGAGACACGGCCCAGACUCCUACGGGAGGCAGCAGUGGGGAAUAUUGGACAAUGGGCGAAAGCAUGAUCCAGCAAUGCCGCGUGAGUGAUGAAGGCCGUAGGGUUGUAAAGCUCUUUUACCCGGGAUGAUAAUGACAGUACCGGGAGAAUAAGCUCCGGCUAACUCCGUG